AUUGUCAAUUGUACAGUUUGUCCUGUAUCAGCUACUCUCAGUAGUGAUCAUUGGUACUGGUUUGAAUCAGGACCUGCUGAGAGUAACAAUGGAACACAAAUUAGUGAUCAGUUAUCAGAUGAAAACCCUCUAUUAUACAAGAAGCCAGAAAAAG